ACGAUGUGAUCCACUGGCAAGGGAGGAUGCCAAUGGAAGGUGUCCGAUAAGCUUCUCCAAGAUCUUCCCCACCUGCCCUCCCAUCUGGAUCGACACCCUUUCUGUCUCCAUUAGAAAACACAUAGGCAGCAGGUGAUGAUGGCGCACACCUUUAAUCCCAGCACUCAGGAGGCAGAGCCAGGCGGAUCUCUGUGAGUAGUAGCCCAGCCUGGUCUACUGAGCAAGUUCCAGAAAAGGUUCCAAAGCAUCACAGAGAAACCCUGUCUUGAAAACCAACCAACCAAACAACAACACAAAAGGAAAGAAAAGAAAAAAGAAAACAAAUAGCCACCGAAAGAACAACAAUAAAAUAUAAAAUAAGAAAAGAGUUAUAAUUUCAGAUAGUUAUUUUGAGGGAAAAUAUUUGCUGUGGAGUGUGAAAUUUUAAAAAUAAAAUUACAUACGAUCUGUUAAUCAAUUUAAAUGCAUUCCCUGUGAACUUUGUCUUUCAC
rnacentral:lncRNA from 1 species